rnacentral:lncRNA from 1 species
GUCAUUGUAGCCGUCAAAUACACAAGAAUCUACAGGUCGAGCAAGUCUCGUAAAUUUCACGAUUGCGAGCCACGCUUCACGCAACCGUGUUUGCGUACUUGUGUUUCAAGUUGCGUGGUCGUACGGAGUUAUAUUUACCAAAUUUACUAAAUAUAAUCGUUUUCAAAAUUAAAUCAAUAUGUCAAUAUGGCUACUGGGUGUAAAAGAUAAAUCUUAUUCUAUCUGUUCUUAAUGAGUUUUAGAUAAUUUUAGUUGUAUUUCUUUGUAAUUUUGUGUUGUACAAAGAUUAAUUUAACAUUUUCUCUGGAAGUAUUAAUUUAGAAAGAUAAUAUGCUUCAUUGGUGUUGUGUUUUGAAGUGUGAAAUGUGAUAAAGUCAAGAUUAAAGUUCACUUUUAAACUGAACUAAAUAAGGUAUCUGAGAGACAACAAUGGUUAAAUGCAAUACAAUGUACAGGUUUUACUAGCGAAAUGAAAAUUUUCCUGUCCUGUCUGCUGUAAUCAUUUUAUAUCUGGAAAACCAGCCGACUUAAUAGAUAAUAACAAUCUCCAGAUUGGGUUCCUUCAAUAAAUAUGGUCUAUAAACACAAUGAAAUAAGUUCCCCAAAAUCUAAAAUGGAGUGGUAUCAAAGGAGAAUUAAAGGGAAAAAUAUUCAUAUUGAAAUUAUUUAUAAGGCACUGGACUGUCUUAAAUUCUACAAUAAUACUAGAAUCAGCUGAGAGAAGUGGUCUAUAAAAAAACCAGGAAGGAAACGGAAUAUGUGGCUACGAAAGGCAAAAGAAAGGUUUACAAAGCAAAUGUGACACAUUUUUUUGAAAUAUUUAGGAAUAUCAGUAAAUUGCAUUAAAAAAAUGUAUGAAAAGAUUUUGUUCAAUAAAAAUGUUUAUAUUUA